GCAGAAAAUCACUCUAACUCUGAUUUCAGACCACGUGACUCGUAUAUGGCUCGUUUCGCUACAACAUGCAACCUUAUCAACGUUACGAAUUCUGACUUAUGUGUUCGUCCCAAACACACGUUUUAUCCGUACAAUGGUGCUAAUCCAUCUUUUAUUGACCAUUUUCUCAUCGAUGAAACAUUAAGAACGAACAUUGAACAGUGCUAUGUGGUUUCAGAUGCCCCCUUAAACGUUUCGCACCACUUACCUGUGUUUAUCUCCCUGGAACUUACCUUCAGCGCUACCGUGAAACAAGCACGUACAUCAUUCUCAAAACGGUGUUUUAUAUGGAAGAAACAAUGGGAAAUAGAUAAUUUUCAAACUAAUGUGUCGAACAAUUUAAGUGCUGAAUCAAUUGACUACAAUAACGUAGAUCUAGCAUACAAUCAUAUAGUAUGGUCAAUGUCGUCUGCUGCAGAAUCAUCGAUGUCAGUCCGUCGCUUCAACAAAUUCCUCAAACCAUACUGGUCAGAGACAGUAAGGGUUGUG
rnacentral:sRNA from 1 species